GUGGGGAAUCUUAGACAAUGGGCGCAAGCCUGAUCUAGCCAUGCCGCGUGAGCGAUGAAGGCCUUCGGGUUGUAAACUGCUUUUGUACGGAACGAAAAGGCUCUGGUUAAUACCUGGGGCUCAUGACGGUACCGUAAGAAUAAGCACCGGCUAACUACGUGCCAGCAGCCGCGGUAAUACGUAGGGUGCAAGCGUUAAUCGGAAUUACUGGGCGUAAAGCGUGCGCAGGCGGUUUUGUAAGACAGACGUGAAAUCCCCGGGCUCAACCGGGGAAUGGCGUUUGUGACUGCAAAGCUGGAGUGCGGCAGAGGGGGAUGGAAUUCCGCGUGUAGCAGUGAAAUGCGUAGAUAUGCGGAGGAACACCGAUGGCGAAGGCAAUCCCCUGGGCCUGCACUGACGCUCAUGCACGAAAGCGUGGGGAGCAAACAGGAUUAGAUACCCCAGUAGUCC
rnacentral:rRNA from 1 species